GACGAACGCUGGCGGCGUGCUUAACACAUGCAAGUCGAACGGAAAGGCCCUGCUUGCAGGGUACUCGAGUGGCGAACGGGUGAGUAACACGUGGGUGAUCUGCCCUGCACUUCGGGAUAAGCUUGGGAAACUGGGUCUAAUACCGGAUAGGAACCAUCUUUAGUGUGGUGGUUGGAAAGUUUUUUCGGUGUAGGAUGAGCUCGCGGCCUAUCAGCUUGUUGGUGGGGUAAUGGCCUACCAAGGCGGCGACGGGUCGCCGGCCGGAGAGGGUGUACGGCCGCAUUGGGACGGAGAUACGGCCCAGGCUGCGGCGGGGGGGAGCAGUGGGGAAGAUGGCACAAUGGGCGCAAGCCUGAUGCAGGGAAGCCGGGUGGGGGAGGAAGGACUUCGGGUUGUAAACGCCUUUCGCUAGGGACGAAGCGUUUGGUGACGGUAGCUAGAGAAGAAGCACCGGCUAACUACGUG
rnacentral:rRNA from 1 species